rnacentral:lncRNA from 1 species
ACCAUGGGAUGCAUAUGGUAUACUGCACAUGGAAAUAGCAUAAUUUGGUCAGUUUUGUCCCCUAGCACCUCCCCUGUCCUCCUCUCUCCCUCUCAAUCCCCUUUAUUCUAUUGCUUUCCCUUCUAACUAAUAGUGAUUUGUGCAUAUCAGUUUUUCAGAGCAGUGCAGUUUAUAAUAGCCAAGUUAUACAAUGAAGCCAAGUUAUAGAAUCAGACUAUAUGUCAAUCCAACAGAUGAAUAAAUAAAAAAAGAGUAUAUAGGGCUGGGGUUGUAGCUCAGUGGUAGAGCGCUUGCCUCACAUAUGUGAGGCACUGGGUUUGAUCCUCAGAAGCACAUUAAAAAAUAAAGAAAGGUAUUGUGUCCAUCUACAACUAAAAAAAUUUUUCAAAAAACAGUGUCUAUAUACAAUGGAGUUUUACCCAGCCACAAAGAAGAAUGAAAAGAAGAAUGAAACUGAGUCAUUUACUGGCAGAUGGAUGGAGCUGGCGAACGUGAUGCCAAAUGAAAUAAACCAGACUUAGGAAGUCAAGGGUCAAAUGUUCUCUCUCAUUUGUGGAAGCUGUCAUCAGUGAUAUCUGGGGUUCUCAAAGCAGAUCCUAAAAACUUCUGUUCAGUUCACAUCCACAGACUUUGCAUAGCACUCUAGGUCAGGGUGUUUGGGGAGACGAACUAUGCUUGUCUGAAGGAGUUCACAGUCUCACUGAGGAGCCUGUUCCUGCUGCUUGAAUCCCAAGCCAUGCAACCUUCCUCUAAGCUGCCACCUUGAAUCUCUCUCAAAAAUGAAUAGUCUUAACCUGCAACCACAAAAAGGUUAUGUGAAAGCACUUCUAGUUCCAAGAGACAGAUGUCAAAUAGUCACAAGCAGCCAGUGUGGUGGUGCAUAUCUAUAAUCCGAGUGACUGGGAGGCCAAGGCAGGAGGAUCACAAGUUCAAGGCCAACCUCAGCAACUUAGCAAGAAC